rnacentral:rRNA from 1 species
GACGAACGCUGGCGGCGUGCUUAACACAUGCAAGUCGAACGGAAAGGCCCUGCUUGCAGGGUACUCGAGUGGCGAACGGGUGAGUAACACGUGGGUGAUCUGCCCUGCACUUCGGGAUAAGCCUGGGAAACUGGGUCUAAUACCGGAUGGGAGCCAUUUUUAGUGCGAUGGUUGGAACGUUUUUUCGGUGUAGGAUGAGCUCGCGGCCUAUCCGCUUGUUGGUGGGGUAAUGGCCUACCAAGGCGGCGACGGGUAGCCGGACUUGGAGGGUGGACGGCCACAUCGGGACUGAGAUACGGCCCAGACUCCGACGGGAGGCAGAAGUGGGGAAGAGUGCACAAUGGGCGCAAGCCUGAUGCAGCGACGCCGCGGGGGGGAUGACGGCCUUCGGGUUGGAAACUCCUUUCGCUAGGGACGAAGCUUUUUGUGACGGUACCUAGAUAAGAAGCACCGGCUAACUACGUG